CGGUACCUGAAGAAAAAGCAUCGGCUAACUCCGUGCCAGCAGCCGCGGUAAUACGGAGGAUGCAAGCGUUAUCCGGAAUCAUUGGGCGUAAAGGGUCCGCAGGUGGCGAAUAAAGUCUGCUGUUAAAGACCGGGGCUUAACUCCGGAAAGGCAGUGGAAACUGAUUAGCUAGAGUACGGUAGGGGUAGAGGGAAUUCCCAGUGUAGCGGUGAAAUGCGUAGAUAUUGGGAAGAACACCGGUGGCGAAAGCGCUCUACUAGGCCGAAACUGACACUGAGGGACGAAAGCUAGGGUAGCGAAAGGGAUUAGAUACCCCUGUAGUCUUAGCGGUAAACGAUGGAUACUAGGUGUAGCUUGUAUCGACCCGAGCUGUGCCGAAGCUAACGCGAUAAGUAUCCCGCCUGGGGAGUACGCACGCAAGUGUGAAACUCAAAGGAAUUGACGGGGGCCCGCACAAGCGGUGGAGUAUGUGGUUUAAUUCGAUGCAACGCGAAGAACCUUACCAGGGCUUGACAUGUCGCGAAUCUAGCGGAAACGUUAGAGUGCCUUAGGGAAUGCGAACACAGGUGGUGCAUGGCUGUCGUCAGCUCGUGUCGUGAGAUGUUGGGUUAAGUCCCGCAACGAGCGCAACCCUCGUCCUUAGUUGCCAAUAUUAAGUUAGGCACUCUAGGGAGACUGCCGGGGACAACUCGGAGGAAGGUGGGGAUGACGUCAAGUCAGCAUGCCCCUUACGUCCUGGGCUACACACGUACUACAAUGGUUGGGACAAAGGGCAGCAAGCUCGCGAGAGUAAGCGAAUCUCAUCAAACCCAGCCACAGUUCAGAUUGCAGGCUGCAACUCGCCUGCAUGAAGUAGGAAUCGCUAGUAAUCGCAGGUCAGCAUACUGCGGUGAAUUCGUUCCCGGGCCUUGUACACACCGCCCGUCACACCAUGGAAGCUGGCUACGCCCGAAGUCGUUACCCUAACCCGGUUUUGGGAGGGGGAUGCCGAAGGUAGAGCUAGUGACUGGGGUGAAGUCGUAACAAGGUAGCCGUACCGGAAGGUGUGGCUGGAUCACCUCCUUU
rnacentral:rRNA from 1 species